AUGGAAACUCUGAUGUCCUCCACCAAGUCAGAAAGAUGGGGAGAUCAUUUUGUACAACUUCAGAGAUCAUUCCAUAAGGGAAGCUUUGUGGGGAAAAACCAUUUGUGGCUUCGGAAAGAUGUGAAGUCAGUCGUUUUUGUGCUUGUUUUGAUGAGUUUCCUUAUCCUGCUUGAUUCUUUUCUGGUGUCCUUUUUCGAUUCCAUGAUCCUUCAGAACAGUUCCAUUGUAAGAAAAUCUCCGCGACUAAAGCAAAGGGAUGCCUACAUUAUGAAAGAAAAAUCACCUGUUCAGAUGUACGAUCGCCUUCUAAUGGCAUCCGUAUCCCUUGUUAAGAAAGAGAUCAAGCAAGAAUCAUCAACCUUAUGGGAAGAACCAAAUAGGAGGCAGGUUGCUGCAUGGAAACCUUGUGCGGAUAGAAAAAUUUCGAAAAGCCUAGGAAAAUAUAAGGAAAGUAAUGGCUAUAUACUACUCAGUGCAAAUGGCGGUCUCAAUCAACAACAAGUUGCUAUUUGCAAUGCUGUUGCUGUGGCAUCUCUUCUGAAUGCUACUCAUGUUAUUCCAAGAUUUCUUUACAGCAAUGUGUGGAUGAUCCGAGCCAAUUUGGUGAUAUUUACCAAGAAGAUAUUUUAUAGAUAUAAUGAAGGAUGAAGUAAACAUUGUCAAGGAACUCCCUUCUCAUUUGGCAUCACUAAACCUUGAAGCAAUUGGUAGCCUAAUUACUGAUGCAGAUCUAGUGAAGGAGGCAAAACCAACUGAGUAUGUUAGAACUGUGCUUCCUAUUCUCUUAAAAAAUGGAGUUGUUCACUUCCUGGGAUAUGGGAAUCGACUAGGCUUUGAUCCAUUGCCUUCUGAGCUUCAGAGACUAAGAUGCAAAUGCAACUUCCAUGCUUUGAAAUUCGUGCCUGAAAUCCAACGAGUUGGUUCUUUGUUGGUUAGAAGGAUAAGAAAAUAUGAUGCUGCACCGAGAAUGUUGGACGAACAAUUGCUUGGAAACUUCAUGCACAGCAUUCACUCAAAACAGCUUGAUGCUGCAGCAAGAGGCUCGUUCAAAUAUCUUGCUCUACACUUGAGAUUCGAGAUUGACAUGGUAGCCUACUCGCUCUGUGACUUUGGAGGUGGAGAAAGUGAGAGAAAUGAACUUCAAGCAUACAGAGAAAUCCAUUUUCCUCUGCUCAUCGAGCGCUUGAAGAACUCAAAGUCUGUUUCUCAAAGUGAAUUGAGAAAGGUGGGGAAAUGUCCAUUGACACCGUAAGAAGCAGCACUAGUUCUUGCUGGUAUAGGUUUUAAGCAUAGAACUUACAUUUACCUAGCUGGAUCUCAGAUAUAUGGUGGAAACUCCAGGAUGAAUUCCUUCACCAACCUCUAUCCUAAUUUGCUCACAAAGGAAACUCUCCUCACACCAAGAGAACUUGCACCUUUUCAAAAGUUCUCUUCCAAGUUAGCAGCACUAGACUUCAUUGCCUGUGCAACUUCUGAUGUGUUCGCUAUGACCGACUCCGGGAGCCAACUAUCCUCCUUAGUAUCUGGAUUUCGAACCUAUUAUGGUGGUGGCAGUGCUCCUACUCUACGGCCUAACAAGAAGAGGCUAGCAGCAAUUUUGUCCGAGAAUAGUACCAUAGGUUGGAACAGUUUUGAAGACAGAGUUAAGAAGAUGAUUGAGGAAGGUCAAAGGGUACAUGUUAGGAGGUUUGGUCGAAGCAUUUAUCGACAGCCAAGAUGCCCACAGUGCUUGUGUAAAUCCUACCUUUGA